rnacentral:rRNA from 1 species
UACGGAGGGGGCAAGCGUUACUCGGAAUUAUUGGGCGUAAAGGGCGCGUAGGCGGUCGUGCGCGUCGGAAGUGAAAUCCCCGGGCUUAACCCGGGAGCUGCCUCCGAUACGGCAUGGCUUGAGUCCGGGAGAGGGGAGCAGAAUUCCCAGUGUAGCGGUGAAAUGCGUAGAUAUUGGGAGGAACACCGAUGGCGAAGGCAGGUCUCUGGGCCGAUACUGACGCUGAGGAGCGAAAGCGUGGGGAGCGAACAGG